rnacentral:rRNA from 1 species
AUUGAACGCUGGCGGAAUGCUUUACACAUGCAAGUCGAACGGCAGUACGGACUCCGGUCUGGUGGCGAGUGGCGAACGGGUGAGUAAUGUAUCGGAACGUGCCCAGUCGUGGGGGAUAACGUAGUGAAAAUUACGCUAAUACCGCAUACGAUCUAUGGAUGAAAGCGGGGGAUAGCAAGACCUCGCGCGAUUGGAGCGGCCGAUAUCAGAUUAGGUAGUUGGUGGGGUAAAGGCCCACCAAGCCAACGAUCUGUAGCUGGUCUGAGAGGACGACCAGCCACACUGGAACUGAGACACGGUCCAGACUCCUACGGGAGGCAGCAGUGGGGAAUUUUGGACAAUGGGCGAAAGCCUGAUCCAGCCAUUCCGCGUGCAGGAUGAAGGCCCUCGGGUUGUAAACUGCUUUUGUACAGAACGAAAAGGUUUCUACUAAUACUAGGAGCUCAUGACGGUACUGUAAGAAUAAGCACCGGCUAACUACGUGCCAGCCGCCGCAGUAA